rnacentral:lncRNA from 1 species
UAGUUGUGGGCCUGCAAUCUUGUUGCCACGUAGAACAUCCUGUGUGGCGUGAUUACUCAGCAAAACGGCCAUCUAGUCAGCAAAACCAGAUUAGGGUGAGGGUCAAAGGUGAAUACUGAAAAUAAAGGGGUUAAGUAAACAAAAGCAAAUUUUAGGGGUUAUUCAAACUUUGCUCAUAGAUCGUGCAGUAAUUUGGACUUUCUCCGUGAAAUUAUCAGAAUUUCCUCGUGCGAUUUGGUUUUUAACAGUAGUUUAGGCGUGCUUGACCUUUUUUUAUACGGAUGGUUACGAUUUAAAUGUUAUCAUUACGUGAUUAAGUUCGCCACAACUUAGACGAGUUGAAAAAUUAUAGAAUCCCGUAAAUCAGUCCUGGACUUGCAAUUCCGUAGGCGGUAGGAAGUUGGCGGCCAACGACGCUCGGUUCAAAGCUGCAACAACCUCCUCGGCCAUAUCGCCGCUGCUCGUAUAUCCCUUUCCUGCCCGUCUCUUCGUCCCGACCUCACCGCUGCUCGGACUCAAGCGGCGGCGCGCCCUCAGCCCUCGUCCACUCCGGGCCGGCCACGCGGCCACGCCCCUCCUCCAUUCGGGGUCCUGCUCCAUCCACGCUAACGAGACGACCGACUACCGCAUGGGGUGGAAGUGGAAAGCAGCAUGGUAGCUCUGCCCCUUGUCGUCCCGCUCACCGGCCGAGCCGAAGAGCACCCACCACGCCUCAAGUUGAUAUCUCCAGUGCGCAAGGUGACAAAACCCCGUCUCGGUUUGUUAGUUUUUUUUAACACUGAUUAUUUGCUAAAUUGCUAGCUCCCUCCCUUCAUGCAGUCAUGCACUCAUUUGCUUUCAAUGAUGGCCACGAUUGUUGAGUCUAGAGAAAAAGAAAAGUGGGAUAGGGUGAUAUUUGAGUAUCUAAAGUUCUAAACAACAAAAUAUGGAAGAAUGUGUAACUUCUGUAAACAUUCUUAGGCUUAGCAGAGCAUCUUUCUUCCGUUUUUGUAAGCUUUUCAGGAUGUGUAUGUGUGUUGAGCAACAUGUUGCUAUGUUCUUGAAUCAGGCAUGACCAUGAUACUGCUGGCGCGCAGCCUACGCUCCAGCCUCCGCCCGCCGCUUGCCGCCGGGUUCUCCUCGGCCCCGACUGCGGCAUCGUCGUCGGCGGCCGCGGCGGAGGCGGAGCGGUCGAUACGGGACGGGCCGCGGAACGACUGGAGCCGACCCGAGAUCCAGGCCGUCUACGACUCCCCGCUCCUCGACCUCCUCUUCCACGGGGUUCGUACCCCUGCCUGGGCUGGACACUCGCGUUAAUGCUCUCUGGUUGUGUUCGUGUUUGGUGCUGAACUGCUGAUUAAUGGUGAUGCCAGAAAUUUAGCGAAAGAUUCUACCUUUCAAGCUUAUAUAAGCGCUGAAGGCCGUAGAUUUGCUGCUAAGGUUGUACGUUUAGGAUCUUUGGGCUGUAAAGGUUGAAUUUGGAGCAUCAGAGGUGAAGCCUGCCUUCUCUCAGAUGCUCGCUAAAUGUCAUUUUUGUUGUUGCCUAGUGGAGAUUGCUACAUAGUUACAGCUCGGGGGUAAUGCCAAAAGGUUUCAUCCGGGGAGGAUUUCAUGUUCUCGUGGCAAUUAGCGAUAGCGAUUGACAUUUCAGCUAUGUGGGGCUUUGCGUUGAGGACAGUGGAUAUUUCUAUUUGCUUUAUCAGAUAUAUCUGAAGAUUAUACUUAUACGCUAGCUGUGCUGGUGGAUGUUUUUCAGCAUUCACAUGCAUGUUCAGCCUUCAUUCGAUGGAUUUAUUAGAUUAAUAAUAUUGAUAUGACACCCAAUUUCUUUGUAUGGUGUCACUUUAGGCUUGCCUCUUAGCAGCGGAAAGACCUGAUUUAUUGACAGUAAUGUCAACAUUAUUGGGUUUAUUUUUUCCUUAGCAUCUGGAAUUUUUCACUCACAAUCUAUAAACACUGAAAUGCUACCACUGAUACAAAGUAGUAUAAGUCGUAGCAUAUUAUGAUGGUUGCAUUUUGGAGCCUGUUGGUUAUUUAGAGUUUCCUUAAAUUGAUGAUGUCUUUUCAUCAUGUAAAAGUUUUGAGUUUAUUGCCCCUGCAAGAAAAGAUAUCAGAUGGUGCGUACUGCAGUAUCAUCUUAUAAAGAAAUUAUUACGUUUAUAUCGAAUUGGUGUCAGUUAGCAAGUCUACAGAAACUGUGAGAUAUUUAUAGCAUCUGUAGUGUUGGUAGGAAGGUACUGCCCUCAAGGGCAUUUAAAAGGUAUAGUGUGGAAAUUCAUAUCAAGCAUUUUUUUAAGGUGUUCUUUGAUAGUUGGGAUUGCAGGUAAUGCAAAAUUUCACUUUUAGUAGGUUUUAUAUGGUGGGAAAUGUAUAUAGAAGUUUGUAGUUUAUACUGCUACAAAUUUCUAAAGUUUGAUGCUACCUGUAAGAAAGGCUAGUUCUUGUUAUAAAACAUGGAAUAAGGAUCAGGCUUCAGGCAUGGUGAUCCAUAGUUUGGCAAUUAUUGCAUGAUAGUCUGAUAAUAAACAAAUUUUGCGUGCCCAAUGCCCAAUUCAAUAUGUUUGGUCACAGUAACAUAUUCAUUUGGUGUAGAACGAUGACCUUCCUGGAUGUCUGGAUCCACCAUGGAUUGUAAGAAGUUAUUCCAUAGAUUGCUAGUCUGUAAAAAGAAUAGAUAUAUAAGAAAAUGAAACAAUUCAAAUGAUUUAUUAUUCUGCUGAUGAACACCAUAUUUUUACUGUAUCGGUUUACCUGUAAUGGAGCAUUUAGCUUUCAUGUCACCAUGUCACCAUGUUGUUCUUCUCAUU